CGGAGGACUCCGGCCCUGAGCUUCCGGAAGGGACAUCUGGGGAAGGUGGGGGGGUGGAAACGCGACAGGUUCAUGAAUUAUCCAUCAAGGUAGGAGAGGAGGUGUGGGUUCUUCAGAUGCUGGGACCCCGUUUCUCUUCCCUCUGGAUGUUGAAUAAGCUGAUGUAGGAAAUUACCAUUAUUUUUUCUGAUACCCCCAAGAAUGUCUCAAUGCUUUGAAUAUGCGGGAAAGGACUAGGACCAAGAUUGUCAGUUCCUCAUGGAAGGAAAUACGUUGCUUUGCUGAGCAUAUAGUAAAUGCUGAAUAUGUUGUUUGAACAAGUGAAUGCUGUUACAAGCGUGCACCCCGACCUGGCCAGAAUCCCCCUGGGCUCAGCUCUAAGCAGAACUGAGGUCUCUCCUACUAAUGGUAAGAGCCUCUUGCUGAGAAAAAUAACCUUUUUUUUUUUUUUUUAAAGACAGAGUGUCACCCUGUUGCCCAGGCUGGAGUGCAUUGGCGCCAUCUUGGCUCACUGCAACCUCUGCCUCCUGGGUUCAAGCGAUUCUCCUGCCUCAGCCUCCCUAGCAGCUGGGAUGACAGUCGCCCGCCACCACACCGGGCUAAUUUUUUGUAUCUUUAGUGGAGUCGGGGUUUCACCAUGUUGGCCAGGCUGGUCUCGAACUCCUGACCUCAACUGAUCCACCUGUCUCAGCCUCCCAAAGUGCUGGGAUUACAGGCGUGAGCCACCACGCCCAGCAAAAAAUAACUUUAACAGAAAUAAUUAUAAUGCUCAUUUUACAGAUAAUGAAAAUAAGCCUGUAAAGGAUUAAGUGAUUUUUUCCCCCAAGGUCAAAGCAAGAAAGUAACAAAGUACGCCUUUAAAUAUUUAAAUAGAUGAUGCAUUUCAUUGUAAUUGUAGUUUGUAUCUUUUUUAAAGUGUCUGUUCCCUUUAUCACAUUUUUGGGCUCAGCACUCAGUCUCUGUUGACUGAGUAGCAACAGUUGGCAGAGUAAGGAUUUUAAGGGCUCAGAUGUGACCAGACCUAUUGCUGUGUGGGUUAGAGAUUGCUGAUUCAAGAAACCUUGACAUCAGGGGCUGGUAUUGAAAGGUGGGAACAGGAAAUAGUAAUAAUAGCUAUACGUUCUGGUUCUCCUCCUGCUCUUUUCCUAUUUAUGUUAACUGGGCACUUCCUGGGUCUCCGUGUCUCCGUCAGCCCUAUUCCUGCCCUUGCUAUAAGAAGG
rnacentral:lncRNA from 10 species